UCACCCACAGCUACCAUGACUUUGAUCCCCGUCUUCAUCUGGACACUGAUCCUCUGGACUCAAGAAUGCAGAGGUCAAGCAACAGUAACUCAGACUCCUGCAGUGAAAUCUGUUCUUCCAGGAGAAACAGUCAUCAUCAACUGUAAAACCAGUCAGGCAGUGUACAAGGAUUCAAAUGGUGACUGGUUGCACUGGUAUCAGCAGAAAGCUGGAGAGGCUCCUAAACUACUGAUUAAACUUGUAAAUCAGUUACAGUCUGGUUUUCCAGCUCGUUUCAGUGGCAGUGGAUCUGGAUCUGAUUUCACUCUGACCAUCAGUGGAGUCCAGACUGAAGAUGCAGGAGAUUAUUACUGUCAGAGUUACCACAGCAUCACUGGCUACUGGUUCACACAGUGAUAUAGAGUCAUACAAAAACCUCUCUCAGUGAGAUAGUAGAGAAACUGCACUGCUGCAGCUGGGAGCGACUGCAGGUGCUGAGUUGGAGGAUGUGAUACACACAAACACACAAAUUCCUAUUUAACAGACACAAAUAUUGUGUCUUUUACAUUGAUUUGUGUCUGUGUGUUUAAUUUAUUGGUCUUGAGAACCUUUGGGACCAGAACACAAAUUAAAGCACUUUGCUUUACUGGUCAGAAACAGCUACUGACUUCAUAAAUAUGAGCUGUGAUUAUCACCUACAGAGCUUCAUUAUCUUUUAUAAUAUUUUGAGCAUUUAGCAUUAGGAACAAAAGAAAGUUUUCUUAGUAGAGUGAAAAUUUCAUCCUAGAGAAUGAACUGUGAACUGAAUAUUUACUAUUAUAAUUAGUUAUGAAAUGAGUUUAUAAUAUUAACAUCUGUGUUUAAUUAAAAUUGUUAUAAAUUAUAUUGCACUAAAGAGUGGAAACCAAGAAACUUUUAAUAUGUGUAUAAAUAUAGUUAAUGUAUUAUUUAGGUCUACUGUGCACUAAGAACAUGGAGGCCCUCAGGAGUCUUUCUCAUGAAUAUUCAAGUUCUAUAACAGAUACUGAGACAGAUGCAGUGGUUAUUUGUGUAUGAUGUGCAUCAUCAAUAAUGUAGAACAUUGCAGGAAUACACACACUUAACACAUAUUUAGGUGAUGAUUACACAGACGAGCUGAGUUACACUGAUGAGUGUGCGAGCAUCUAUUGCUGCAGCACUGUCACACUGGUCUGGGUGACACCUAAACACACAGAGUUUAGACAGGAAUGGACAUUUGCCAAUCUCUCAGUCUUUAUUUCAGCUCACUGUGUGUUUCACUUCACUUUAUAUCUUACAGAGCAGAACUGAGUUCAGUGGAGCAUCACAAACGUUUCACCUGCAAUUCAAUUACUUUUAUUUUAGAUCUAUAAUGAUUUCUAUUAUAGUUACUGCAUGUGGAAAUUGAAUGGUAGUGAAUAUUCACUAAUCACAAACAUCAACAGCAUUUAAUAUACAUACAGUCUCUAAGAUUUACUUGUAAAUUACUGUUUAUAGUUAUAAUACCAUUUUAUUUAAUUUAUGUCAAUCAUGUAAACACUAUAU